UACGUAGGGGGCAAGCGUUGUUCGGAAUUACUGGGCGUAAAGCGCACGUAGGCGGCUAUUCAAGUCAGAGGUGAAAGCCCGGGGCUCAACCCCGGAACUGCCUUUGAAACUAGAUAGCUAGAAUCUUGGAGAGGUCAGUGGAAUUCCGAGUGUAGAGGUGAAAUUCGUAGAUAUUCGGAAGAACACCAGUGGCGAAGGCGACUGACUGGACAAGUAUUGACGCUGAGGUGCGAAAGCGUGGGGAGCAAACAGG
rnacentral:rRNA from 1 species